rnacentral:rRNA from 1 species
CUUUCUCCGCCGGCGACCGGCGUACGGGUGAGUAACGCGUAUCCAACCUGCCCUUUACUAUGGGACAGCCCGUCGAAAGGCGGAUUAAUACCGUAUGUUGUCAUGUUGAUGCAUAUUUUCAUGACCAAAGGCUUCGGCCGGUAAAGGAUGGGGAUGCGUCUGAUUAGCUUGCCGGCGGGGGUAACGGCCCACCGGGGCGACGAUCAGUAGGGGUUCUGAGAGGAAGGUCCCCCACAUUGGAACUGAGACACGGUCCAAACUCCUACGGAAGGCAGCAG